ACCUCAUCACAUGGCUUCUACUCUUUGAU
rnacentral:piRNA from 1 species